rnacentral:rRNA from 1 species
AUUGAACGCUGGCGGCAGGCCUAACACAUGCAAGUCGAACGAGUGGCGGACGGGUGAGUAAUGUCUGGGAAACUGCCUGAUGGAGGGGGAUAACUACUGGCAACGGUAGCUAAUACCGCAUCCCAUCGGAUGUGCCCAGAUGGGAUUAGCUAGUGGGUGGGGUAAAGGCUCACCUAGGCGACGAUCCCUAGCUGGUCUGAGAGGAUGACCAGCAACACUGGAACGGAGACAGGGUCCAGACUCUUACGGGAGGCAGCAGUGGGGAAUAUUGCACAAUGGGCGCAAUCCUGAUGCAGCCAUGCCGCUUAGAUGAAGAAGUCCUUCGGGUUGGAAAGUACUGUCAGCGGGGAGGCGUUACCCGCAGAAGAAGCACCAGCUAACUCCGUGCCAGCAGCCGCGGUAAUAC